GCAAGUAGCCUGAUAAAAUUGUUCGGAUCGGGGCUCUCGCCUGCUAUUAGCAGCGGACCACCGCCCGAGCUGUACCUUUAUUUUUAUUUUCCAUCUUUUAGUUCCCGUUUUCUUCCCCAACCACGGACGACUAUCCGUUUUAGUUUUUGAAUUUCGAAAACGCAGUUCGGAUAGCGCCGUUUUAACCCCUCUAGUUCCUCAAGUUUGCGUCCCAAAAUCCGAGUCCGGAUAGGUUCGAUGUGGCCCAGAAAACCCCUCCGUGAAUUUUCGUGACUUGUUGAUAUUUAAACAGUUUCAAGAGAAGACGAGGUCUCGACCGGCUCAAUCAUGAAUUCUUCCUAUGUUUCUGGUGAACCGUACGCACUUCCAUAUAAAUUUGAUGCUCGAGACGGCGGUGUGAGUUCAGGUGGAGGAGAUGGUCUGAUGCUUGGCUGGAACGUCCCGCCGGAACACAUGGACAUGGUCCACCCUCAUUGCGAGCCUUCCCCAACAUACCCGAAAUGUGGCAUCUCAUGCUUGGCGCAAUAUAUUUUAUCCUCAUGAUAGUCUCUACUUUAGGAAAUGGAAUAGUUAUUUAUUUAUUUUUCACGUGAGUCGACGCCUAUCUUUCAUUUUCGAAUUAUAUUCGGGUGGAUUCGACAAAAAUCAGCCUAAUUUUAUUUCAUGUUGCUUGGUGCCAUCUCGUGUUUUAUUUUUUAGUGUAUUUUUCGAAGGGAAUACACUAUUUUUAACUUUAAACUAAUCAACAUACUUAAGGCCUUGAAACUUUCACUGGAUUUUCCUCAGAUUAUCAGGAAUACUUAUGCUUACAAAAUUCAAGUCAGAAUCUUUGCUCAGUUUGCUGGUAAUAAAUGAAAUAUGAGAACAAAUUAGACAACGUAUGAUGUAAUUAGGACGAUACUGAUCAAUUCAUCUCGUUGAUAUUGACUUUAAUUAUAUAGCUAGAUAGGUACUUUUAUUUAAGGACUUUCCAUUAAUAAUUCUUUUCAAAAGAACUGCAGUUUUUUUUUCCGGCAAAAACAAACAAUUAAAAAAAUGAAAAAAUAAUAAUCUCAACGUAAUCCUUUGCGACAAAAGACCCUGCAAUAUUUUUAGAAUUAAAAAGAUGAGUAUGCUACGAAACUUAUUAAAAAGGCAUAUUAUGCCGCCAUGACUUCCGUCUGGAAACGCUUCAAAACCCGUUUGAAAUAUAUUAACUUUUUCCUAGUUUUGAAGAACAUUUGUUAAAAAAUGUUAUUAUUUUUAGAGGUCUUGUAAAAACAUCUUGUGCUAUUAGGACACCUUCUUGCGUGCAUUGUUGAUAUUCUUAUAAAGUUUGUUUUUGACCGAGGAUCUCUCCUUUUUAUUUUCACAGAACAAAUCCCUACGAACUCCAUCAAAUUAUUUAUAUCAAAUC
rnacentral:lncRNA from 1 species